rnacentral:pre_miRNA from 11 species
CAGCGCUUGAGGUGAAGUUCUGUUAUACACUCUGACUGUGGCUAUGUGGAAGUCAGUGCAUCACAGAACUUUGUCUCGAGAGCUU